GAUUGGCAUUGCUGUUCUGCUUGAGAAAACACACAUUCUUUCUGCAGUAUCUGAAAUGGAAUGAUUAUUGCAGCAUACUUGAGUUACUGCUGUAUUACAAGUGCAGCAGCCCUUCUAGUAGAGCCAGAGUUAAGGAUCAAGGGAAAUACACUCUCGUGGCCAUGCAAUUGAUUUGUAUUCAUCACACCAGAGUGAGGGAAGCUGCAGUCAGCACAUGGAGAAGGUGUGCUCUGGAUUCUAAAGCAGUUUUUACGAACUCCUCUCAAGGAUCAUGCUCAUUGUACUAGGCAGUGUACCAAGAAGAAAGUCCCUGCCCCACAGAGCUCCAAAUGGACAUGAUGACUGGGAUGUAACAGGUGGACAAAACAGACAAUUGGGAUGCGGAUGGAUUGGGAGAAGGAAUCAAUGAUAAAACAAACGGGGUAGCAGAAGUGGCAGCUCAUCAUUUGCCUACUCGAUGUCAGAUGGGAAUGAUUUGGAGGCAUCCCAGCAGAGGUAGGCUUUAAAGACAGAUGUAAACUUAAAAUAAUAAAAGAUAAAGCCGGCAUUUUUGUGAAAGAAAUUGUUGUGAAUCGUCAGAUACGUUAGGCCGCUCAUUGGCAAUUCAGAGGAAUAUUACUCAGCCGUCUGGUAGGUUGGAGUUUGGGACAGGUUGCUGAAUGCCCCAGGCUGGAACUGGCUGAGCUUCUUAUUAUCACAUAAAUAACACACUGUGUUUGUUAAUGCACAAUGUAAAGGUGUUUUUUCUUUGUUUGUUUAUGCCUACGGCUGAACUGUUAGUAAUAUGUUGUUGUAUAGUAAAAACAGUAGUAACUACUUUGUCUGGAAACCUACACAGAUGUGCCUAGAGAGCUGUGUACGUGGGGAAAGGAAAGGAGACUUCUGAUGAAUCUACCAAGGACCAGCCACAGCAUAGCUGGGGAGAAUGGGCACUGUAUUUUGAGUAGUGCCACAGCUAGCCUUCCUAAAGGAAUCAGGGAGAGAAUGAAUCAUGGUACCCCACUUGCUUCCUGGACUGAGCAGCAUAGAGGAGAACAUUUGCUGAACUCUUCAGUAGGGUGGUUUUGCUGCUGUUGUAGAAUGCACUCUGAGCCUCAUGAAGAAUUUAAGCAAAGUCCUCCAGAAUUCCUCUUGGGGGAGGGCAGGGGUCCGAUUAGCAGCAUAGCCUCCUCUACACCCCCUCCUCCUGUAUUGCUGGGCUGUGUCUUGAAGGUAUAGCCUAUCCCAGAGUUCAUAUGACAGAUUUGCAUCUCCAUAGUUAAGGUUUAAGCUAAUUUCCCACUAUAAACCUGACUGUCAACCUUCUGUAGUCCCCCUCCCCCACAGCCCCAAAGAAACU